AAACAAGGAUGUGGGCAAAGUCUCGUCAAGUCAUUUUAUCUCUCACAAGCCUCAAAUAUGGAUUCACCAUCAGUCUGUCUAAAAGAAGUUAUCUGGUUUCUUAACAC